rnacentral:misc_RNA from 1 species
GAUGAAGAACGUAGCGAAAUGCGAAAAGUAAUGUGAAUUGCAGAAUUCAGUGAACCAUCGAAUCUUUGAACGCACAUUGCGCCCGCUGGAACUCCGGCGGGCACGCCUGUCCGAGCGUCAUUUCAACCCUCAGGCCCCCCUUCGCGGGCGGGCCUGGUGUUGGGGCCCGGCCGCUACCCUGCGGCCGUCCCCUAAAUCCAGUGGCGGCCUCGCCGUGAUCCCUUGCGUAGUAAUGCACCUCGCACCGGAGAGCGCCGUGGCCACGCCGUAAAACCCACAAUUUUCAAUGGUUGACCUCGGAUCAGGUGGGAAUACCCGCUGAACUUAAGCAUAUCAAUAGCGGAGGA